rnacentral:rRNA from 1 species
AUUGAACGCUGGCGGCAGGCCUAACACAUGCAAGUCGAGCGAGCGGCGGACGGGUGAGUAAUGUCUGGGAAACUGCCUGAUGGAGGGGGAUAACUACUGGAAACGGUAGCUAAUACCGCAUACUAUCAGAUGUGCUCAGAUGGGAUUAGCUAGUAGGGCGGGUAACGGCUCACCUAGGCGACGAUGCCUAGCUGGUCUGAGAGGAUGACCAGCCACACGGGAACUGAGACACGGUCCAGACUCCUACGGGAGGCAGCAGUGGGGAAUAUUGCGCAAUGGGCGAAAGCCUGAUGCAGCCAUGCCGCGUGUGUGAUGAAGGCCUUCGGGUUGUAAAGCUCUUUCAGCGGGGAGGCGUUACCCGAAGAAGAAGCACCGGCUAACUCCGUGCCAGCAGCCGCGGUAAUAC